rnacentral:rRNA from 1 species
GUACCUUUUGCAUCAUGAUUUAGCCAGCGUGACCCAAGCAAAGAGUACUUUAGUUUGACACCCCGAAACUAGGGGAGCUACUCCAAGACAGCCUAUUUAUAGGGCGAACCCGUCUCUGUGGCAAAAGAGUGGAAUGAGCUUUGAGUAGAGGUGAUAAACCUACCGAACCUAGUUAUAGCUGGUUGCCCGAGAAUUGGAUAGAAGUUCAGCCCCCCAGAUUCUUUAUUCACCUCAGUAUUACCCCACCUGAUACCAAAGGAAGCUGUGAGAGUUAUUCAAAGGGGGUACAGCCCCUUUGAAACAAGAUACAACUUUUCCGGGAGGAAAAAGAUCAUAAUUAAAUAAAGGUAAGUAUUUGGGUGGGCCUAAAAGCAGCCAUCCCAGUAGAAAGCGUUAUAGCUCAAAUACAUCACUACCCCUCUUCAUCCCGAUCAUUAAUUCUUACUCCCCCACUCCCUACCGGGCCAUCCCAUGCAAACAUGGGAGAGACC